UGAAGGCCUCUACCCCAAGCACGAUUCCGUAGCUGGUGAAGGACGACCAGCACACUGGGAACUGAGACACGGCCAGACCCCUACCGGGAGGCAGGCAGUGGGAAUUUUGGACAAUGGGGGAACCUUGAUCCAGCCAUUCCCGCGUGUGAUGAUGAGUCUCGGGUGGUAAGCUACUUUUGACAAGAGAAGAAAAUGACAUGCGCGCUAUAACGGACUGUUAGAUGACGGUACCUGCAGAAAUAAGCACCGGCUAACUACGUGCCAGCAGCCGCGGUAAUACGUAGGGUGCAAGCGUUAAUCGGAAUUACUGGGCGUAAAGGCGUACGCAGGCGUCUAGGAAAGAAAGAUGUGAAAUCCCAGGGCUCAACCUUGGAACUGCAUUUUUAACUGCCGAGCUAGAGUAUGUCAGAGGGGGGUAGAAUUCCACGUGUAGCAGUGAAAUGCGUAGAGAUGUGGAGGAAUACCGAUGGCGAAGGCAGCCCCCUGGGAUAAUACUGACGCUCAGACACGAAAGCGUGGGGAGCAAACAGGAUUAGAUACCCUGGUAGUCCACGCCCUAAACGAUGUCAACUAGCUGUUGGGGCCGUUAGGCCUUAGUAGCGCAGCUAACGCGUGAAGUUGACCGCCUGGGGAGUACGGUCGCAAGAUUAAAACUCAAAGGAAUUGACGGGGACCCGCACAAGCGGUGGAUGAUGUGGAUUAAUUCGAUGCAACGCGAAAAACCUUACCUACCCUUGACAUGUCUGGAAUUCUGAAGAGAUUUAGCAGUGCUCGCAAGGGAACUGGAACACAGGUGCUGCAUGGCUGUCGUCAGCUCGUGUCGUGAGAUGUUGGGUUAAGUCCCGCAACGAGCGCAACCCUUGUCAUUAGUUGCUACGCAAGAGCACUCUAAUGAGACUGCCGGUGACAAACCGGAGGAAGGUGGGGAUGACGUCAAGUCCUCAUGGCCCUUAUGGGUAGGGCUUCACACGUCAUACAAUGGUCGGGACAGAGGGUCGCCAACCCGCGAGGGGGAGCCAAUCUCAUAAACCCGAUCGUAGUCCGGAUCGCAGUCUGCAACUCGACUGCGUGAAGUCGGAAUCGCUAGUAAUCGCGGAUCAGAAUGCCGCGGUGAAUACGUUCCCGGGUCUUGUACACACCGCCUUUCACACCAUGGGAGUGGAUUUCACCAGAAGUAGGAGAAGAACACAAGCAGGCCGACAGCGAGGAGGUCCUAGCUAUACC
rnacentral:rRNA from 1 species